GAGACAAAUGCUUAAAAAUAGGUUUUUUAGACGGGGAAAGUAUACCAUUGACCUUUUAAAUAAGGUGCUCACAAAAUUAGCCUUCUCAAAACGAUGGCCGCCUCUCUCUCUCUCUUCAAACCCAAAGUUCUGUCUAACCCACCUGAUCGAUGACCCUUUCUCUCAACAAGCCCAGACCCCUGCAAACCUCUCAACUCUCUAACCCUCCAAAAGGUAACGUCGAUGGUGGAGCUCUCUAAGAAAGUAGAAAGAGAAGAGCUCUAAUGGCGAUAAAAUCGAAAAAAAAAUCUUAAUGGACCUGGUUCUGUCCAUGGAUACGAGUCACUUUACGAGCUCCUUGAAUAUUCUCUCAAACCAGAGUUUGUCAGGAUGGGUUUGCACCCUUUUUCAAAGCCACUGAAAAGGAAGGCUUGGGCAUCAGUAAGUAAGAGAAUUGACGAGUGAAGAAUUCGACCCAAAAAUAGAGUUGCAAGCAAUUCACACUCUCAUUGAAAAGAGGGAAGGAGAUGAUAGGAGCAGUAUUUCUAUUGGCAAUGUUGUCUCAUGUCAUUUAGAUGGGAUGGUAUAGGACAGUCGUUUUGUUACCUUUGAUGUUAUAAGUGGAGCAUCUAAAUAUAGGCAUGAGCUCUAGGUACUGGAAUGAGGAACUUUACAUCCAAAGGAUAUUGAUGUGGAAAUGGCAGCCCAUGAGACUGAAAAUUGACAUGAUUCAUCUCACCGUGAAAACAUGGACAGUGAUAUUCUAUCAAAUUCUAGUGAAUGGGAUUUCUAGCUCUUUAGAAGAAUGUAAUAGUGAUUUUUUUUCUCAUGUAUAUAAAAUUAUUAUAUCAAUAAGAUAUACCUCCUAUCA